rnacentral:rRNA from 1 species
CGCUGGGCCGCAGCUACACAUGCAGUCGAGCGGUAACAGAAAGUAGCUUGCUACUUUGCUGACGAGCGGCGGACGGGUGAGUAAUGCUUGGGAACAUGCCUUUAGGUGGGGGACAACAGUUGGAAACGACUGCUAAUACCGCAUGAUGUCUACGGACCAAAGGGGGCUUCGGCUCUCGCCUAAAGAUUGGCCCAAGUGGGAUUAGCUAGUUGGUGAGGUAAUGGCUCACCAAGGCAACGAUCCCUAGCUGGUUUGAGAGGAUGAUCAGCCACACUGGAACUGAGACACGGUCCAGACUCCUACGGGAGGCAGCAGUGGGGAAUAUUGCACAAUGGGCGCAAGCCUGAUGCAGCCAUGCCGCGUGUGUGAAGAAGGCCUUCGGGUUGUAAAGCACUUUCAGUCAGGAGGAAAGGUUAGUAGUUAAUACCUGCUAGCUGUGACGUUACUGACAGAAGAAGCACCGGCUAACUCCGUGCCAGCAGCCGCGGUAAUACGGAGGGUGCGAGCGUUAAUCGGAAUUACUGGGCGUAAAGCGUACGCAGGCGGUUUGUUAAGCGAGAUGUGAAAGCCCCGGGCUCAACCUGGGAACUGCAUUUCGAACUGGCAAACUAGAGUGUGAUAUAGGGUGGUAGAAUUUCAGGUGUACCGCUGAAAUGCGUAGAGAUCUGAAGGAAUACCGAUGGCAAGGCAGCCCCCUGGGUCAACACUGACGCUCAUGUACUAGAGCGUGGGGAGCUAACCGGAUUAGAUACCCUGGUGACCACGCCGUAAACAAUGUCUAUUACAUCCUAGGUGCUUCAGCGCUGCUGGACUAUUCUUACGCUUUAGUAUGCCCCCUGAGGAUACUCGUGUGAUCUUUAUCUCUCACUCUGACCUGUACGGGACACCUCUCCGCUUUGCACCAUGCGGUGAGACUGACACGCUUCAC